UUGGUCCGGCGUUGAAGGAAGGUCUCGAAAAUUAUAGAGAAUAACAAAGGUAUUUGACUAAAAAUAAUUCCACGUUUUUAUUAAUAGGAAAUUCAGACUUUUGAAGUUCAUGCAAUCGCUAAGCGUAAUGUUUCAGACAAAAAAAAAAGAGGAAGCAUAACUGCAUUCUCAGUAAUGUAUUGUAAUUUUGGCAAACCGUACGGCAAAUAAAAAAAAAAAUCUAAUAACCAGGGUACCGUUUCACUAAGCCUUCGUAAGUCUACGUGUCAUCUUAAGUCCAUCGUAAAUAAAUCGUAGGAUUUACAGCCGUUUCACAAAGCCGUCGUAAGUUAAGAUGAUCGUAAAUAAUGCGUAAAUCCUGGCGUAACUUACUACAGCUAUACCCAGUCGUAACUCCAUCGUAGUUUUUCUACGAAAAUGAAUAAAUCCAUCUAACAUGGCUGCAGCGUUCUUUAUUCUUGGUCAAGAUGCCUCAAAUGUUAGAAGACGAAGAAGAAUCUUAAAUAUUAUAGAACUACACUUAAAGUCUUUCUUCGUUUGUUUAUUUGUAUAUGCAAGCAACUUACUUAAUGCAAAUCUAAAGUAUUAAUCAUUGUUUACUCAUCUUAUUUCCUACCUGCGUACGUCUUUUAACAAUUUAAUAAAUUGGCUCUCUAUCACGUCCGCGUUCUGAAAUCUAUUUAUAAUUAUAGCACUACAGGCACAGAGAUAUACCUUUCUAGUUACUAUUUAUGGAUCGAAUUUAAUGUGGAUGAUACAUACCAAAACUGAAAGGAAAAGUGGUAAGCUUCAAGUCAAUUAGACUUUAUUUAGAUGCGACAUAUCUUCAAAAAUUAAUACAGUAGAAAAGAAAUUGGCAGGCGGAGUUAAAGAUUGAAAAGUGAAGCAUUUAUUUUUUCUGUUUACUUAAUAUUUUUUUAUUUAGGGACAUCGGCACAGGGACUAUCCGUGGGACGGUCGACUUUCCAUCUGUUAUACAUAGAUAAAAACAAGUGCCAAUGUACAUCUCUCCUCGGUCCAUCUUCCUACAAGCAUAUUAUUGAGGGAAAGAAUUAUAUAAUAGUUCUUAAAAAACUUUUUAUUAUCAUUAUCGUGAUAUAAUGACUGCCCAAGGGACAGUGGUAUUGACUAAAAUAGUGAUAAUGACUGAGCCGAAGGAGAGGUCAUUAUCGCUGUCACAGUCAAUACCACUAUCCUACGGGCAAUAACAAACUAUUAUGUUUAUUUCAUUGCGAAGCCAUGUUUUUGAAAAUUCUUAUAAAUUCAAAAUGUCCAAAGCGAACUCGAGUGGUUGUACGAUUUCUAUGGCAAAGAGUGAAGAUCAAUCGUAGUAAUACUGCCAUUCAUUUUAGUGCAAUUUUUCAGCAUAUGAAUACUAAAUCAAGUUCUCUAUAAUUUUAUAAUUUGCAAAAACAUAUUGUAAACAAUUCAAUAACUUAAAAAUAAUAUUGAAAACAGGAAAAAGUUUUCUUUAAGGAACAUCUUUCUAAACAGAGAAACCACGCCCCACCGGUCAUUAACCGAGAAGCCAUGCCCCACUGUUCAUUAACAGAGAAACCACGCCCAAACGGUCAUUAACAGACAUAAACCUCGAAAAUGUUGUAUUGUCGUAAGUGAUUAACUUGAAGGAAGGGAAAAUGGGACAGAAGUAUACGGUUUUCAAUAAAUGAAUUAAAACAAAACUUUAAUCGCAGGCUGCUAAAAUUUCUUUAUGCAUAUCAUCUGCCUUUGUAAAUUUUUCAUAUCUUGAUUUAACCCUAAUACAAAUAUAUGAGACACUCUGCAAGUGAAUAAAAACAUAUUUACCCUUAAUUAACUUGAAUUGAAUUGCAUUUUGCUUGGCACAUAAUUUGUCGAAAUACAACCAUUAAAUUACUAUAACCGAUCCUGAAAAUUAUUUUUCCAGUCAUUUAAAUUUACUUGUUUUAGUUUUCUAACGUCUAAUGUACAUUUUAAAAUGUAGUAAUCUUCUCCUGAAUCGUCCGUAUAUUACGGGGUGGUAUUAAUUCAAUGAAACUCUUUUUGCCGCUGUUUCCGAUAAGUCUUUCAGUUACCUCCUUUUCAUGCACAACAUGCACAUUUUUUUUUCGGCAGCCAUCAAUAUUUUUUUUUCCAUUUUCACCACGCGAUUCGUUUAAAUUAGCAGGAAUAAUCAAUUGGAACACAUUUAGCACAUUUAACGUAAAAAAAAGCGUUUUUCGGAUUUUUCGACGCUUGGACAAAAUGGCUACCGUUUAGUGAUGUUUCGUAGCAUUUAAUUCCUUUAAGACCUAAACAUAGUUUAUAAAAAAGAAUCUAGACUUAAUGUUCUUUUCGUGUAUCUAAAUUUGGUUUUGAUAAAUUAUAAAUUACUUAUUGAAAUAUCAGAUAAAAUACCCGAAUUAAUUGCUUGGACAAAUGAAAUAUUGACAUGGUCAAAAUGGCUACCGCUUGAAAAACGACUGUGUAGAAAAGAUUUUAUAGAAUCUACAAUUUUUGAACUCAAGAACAAUGAGGCAAAUGUUUGUACUUUCGGUAAAUGUUAUAAAUAUAUUACAUUUUUUAGACAUUUUUGGCUAUGUCUACUUAUAAAACUACCUUUCAGUCGUUGAGUCGACGAAAAAAGUCGUUGGACAUUUUUCUUAUUCAAGCUUAAAAUGCAGCCACCGAGUCUAACGAAAUUCGACAAAAUAACGGCUUUAGUAUCACCAAGAACUGACACACUUCGUUGCUUCUGCGAAGUUUCGGCAAGAUUAGAGAAUAAGAAAUGGGCUAGGAUCACUAUACAAGAGAUAAAACAGCUGUUCAAAAAUGUAACGGUGGCAAUCCGUUUUUUUUUCACAUAACUUUGUUGUUUUAAUUAUCAAAUUUACUAGAUAUUACUAAGCAUUUGACCAAGAGCUAUAAGAACAUAAAGGAAAACAUACUGAAUUUGGUUUUAUAGUGAUUAGUGUUUGUUAAGUUUAUGUUUAACAUUUUAUUUUGUUUUGCGGGGGCAAUUUCGAAGAUUCUGUUUUAAAUCCUAGGGGUUUUAGGAACAUCGUGAGCGACGUUAAAACAUGAUUAAAGGUGAUAUCAGAAUCAAAACGUCGCUUUCGUCGAAAUGAUUCAUAAGUCUUUUGUUUCGGUUUCAUAUUUGUAAGAUCCGCAAUUCAUUCCAAUCUAAAAACAACAAUGUAUUGCUAAGGUCUAGAAGACUAAUGCUGAGGAACCCCAAAAUCCACCAGACCCUUACUGUGACAGAUAGUUUUGUUUAAUACAUUUAACUGUUUUUGUCUUCAAAAAGAGUACAUAUAUUUGUUGAAAGUGUUUUUAAUAUAUGUAAUGGACAAUAUAUACCAUGUCCUCUCAACCGCCGUAGUAAUUUAAUUUCAAUGAAAGAAAGUAUUUGAAAGCCUCCCUCCCCGUGCAAAAUGUAUACUAAACUCGUCAGGCAAAAUAAUUUUCAGGAAUACUUGCAUAAUUCUUUAAUCGUAUUAAAUUCUGUAUUUAAGUUUAUAUCUAUAAUAAAAGUGUCUUAUCUUGAUUGUUGAAAAGGGGCUUAAAUUCUUUACUUGCAUUAAUAUUGAUAUAAACAAAUCGUCCUAAUUCGCCAUCCGUACGUAAUAAUUAUUUAAAAUGUUAUCUUGGCAUGCCAUACUCGAAAAAAAGUGCAAACGUGAAAAGACACCACUCUACUCGGUUUACGAUACACUUACGAUGAUACACAGUACGUAACUUGGAUUCAACUUGGUAAUCCUUUACGAUGCGAUGCCUUUGUGAAACUUAACGUGAACGUAGAACCACACGUAAACAGAUCGUAAACUGAUACGAUGAUCGUAAGUUAAGAAGGCUUUGUGAAACGGUGGCCAGGUAGAAUAAGAAUAACACACUAUCCAUGACACCAAAUCAGGACAUGCUCAACAAAAGGCACACAAAAUAAAAUGAAAAAAAGUAAACAGCAAUGUUUUUUUUUCAAUUCAAAGUCAGACGUAUGUCUUAAACACGAAGCAAUUUAUGAUCUAAAUUUGAAUGAUGGUCUCGAAAAUUAUCGAAAACAACGCAGAUCUUUGACUAAAAAGUUAUUUGAGAUAUUUGAAUUCAUACAAUAACUAAUAUUCAGUAACUCAUGAUGGAGUUAUGACAUUUAAACUAUCAUAACUACUUGUGUAUAUAUUUAAUAAGUCAGAAUAUUAGAAAAAAGAAAAAAACAAAGGAAAAGAAAAGAUGACAAUAAACCCAUUGAAUGAAAAAUCAAAUUGAAAGAAAAAGCAAAUUGAAUGAAAAAGCAAAUUGAAUGUUUGACCUAAGUUUUUUUUUUCUGAAAUUGACUAAACAUGCUAAAAAAUAUUUAAAUCUUAAAAUAUAUUCAACCAGAUAGACUAAAAGUAGUAAAAAAUAUUCAGUUAUUUUAUUGAAUAAGCUCUUGAAUCUCUUUAAUCUUGAAAUUGGAGACAUUAAAUCGCAAUCUCAAUUGAAAGCAAAACUGUAUUGUUAUGUUUAAAUAAACAUUUGUGUUUUUAAUAGUGAAAAUAAAUGAUUCUCUUACAUUCUGAUUUUUUUUUUGCAGACAUGACAUUUUCUUUGGUAAUGUUCAUUAGUUUAUUUUUAACAAGGAACACGAGGCUGAAAACGAAGGCUACAGUGAAUAUUUCAAAACAAUCAAAGACAUGUAAUAUGAGAUGUUUGGCAACAGAAACUACACACGUAUGUCUUAAUUAAGAAAACACUUUAUAUUUUAAUUAAAAUAAUGAUUAUAUGUUUACCUUUUAAAAAUUGAUACGUAACACAAAACCAACA
rnacentral:lncRNA from 1 species